rnacentral:rRNA from 1 species
UAGGGAAUUGUCGGCAAUGGGCGAAAGCCUGACCGCGCGACGCCGCGUGGAGGAAGAAGGCCUUCGGGUUGUAAACUUCUUUUAUGAGGGACGAUUAUGACGGUACCUCAAGAAUAAGGGGCUGCUAACUACGUGCCAGCAGCAGCGGUAAUACGUAGGCCCCGAGCGUUAUCCGGAAUUAUUGGGCGUAAAGAGCGUGUAGGUGGCGCUACAAGUCGGUCGUUAAAUCUCACCGCCCAACGGUGAGGCCGCGAGCGAUACUGUAGUGCUUGAGUCUUACAGGGGUGAGCAGAAUUCUUGGAGUAGGGGUGAAAUCCGUUGAUACCAAGAGGAAUACCAAUGGCGAAGGCAGCUCACUGGGUAAGUACUGACACUGAGACGCGAAAGCGUGGGGAGCGAACG